rnacentral:rRNA from 1 species
GACGAACGCUGGCGGCGUGCUUAACACAUGCAAGUCGAACGGUAAGGCCCCUUCGGGGGUACACGAGUGGCGAACGGGUGAGUAACACGUGAGCAACCUGCCCUUGACUCUGGAAUAACAGUUGGAAACAGCUGCUAAUACUGGAUAUUCAUCGUCUCCUUCCUGGGGGGUGGUGGAAAGCUCCGGCGGUCAGGGAUGAGCUCGCGGCCUAUCAGCUUGUUGGUGAGGUAAUGGCUCACCAAGGCUUCGACGGGUAGCCGGCCUGAGAGGGCGACCGGCCACACUGGGACUGAGAUACGGCCCAGACUCCUACGGGAGGCAGCAGUGGGGAAUAUUGCACAAUGGGCGCAAGCCUGAUGCAGCAACGCCGCGUGCGGGAUGACGGCCUUCGGGUUGUAAACCGCUUUCAGUAGGGACGAAGGGUGACUGACGGUACCUACAGAAGAAGGACCGGCUAACUACG